GACGAACGCUGGCGGCGUGCUUAACACAUGCAAGUCGAGCGGAAAGGCCCUUCGGGGUACUCGAGCGGCGAACGGGUGAGUAACACGUGAGUAACCUGCCCCAGACUUUGGGAUAACCCUCGGAAACGGGGGCUAAUACCGGAUACGACACAGCUUCGCAUGGGGUCUGUGUGGAAAGUUUUUCGGUUUGGGAUGGGCUCGCGGCCUAUCAGCUUGUUGGUGGGGUGAUGGCCUACCAAGGCGACGACGGGUAGCCGGCCUGAGAGGGCGACCGGCCACACGGGGACGGAAACACGGCCCAGCCCCCUCCGGGGGGCAGAGGGGGGGAAAUUUCAAAAAGGGGGGGAACCCUGAUGCGGCGACGCGGGGGGGGGGAUGACGGCUUUGGGGUUGAAACCCUUUUUCGGGGGGGAGGAAGCGUAAGUGACGGUACCUGCAAAAGAAGCCCCGGCCAACUACGU
rnacentral:rRNA from 1 species